rnacentral:sRNA from 1 species
AAAAGGACGCCUCCCGGCCCUCCCGUCCGCGGGUGGGGCGCCCGCCGGAGGAUAACCAAACUCUGAUUUAACGACGUUUCUUCUGAGUGACACAAGUAAUAAUCAAAACUUUUAACAACGGAUCUCUUGGUUCUGGCAUCGAUGAAGAACGCAGCGAAAUGCGAUAAGUAAUGUGAAUUGCAGAAUUCAGUGAAUCAUCGAAUCUUUGAACGCACAUUGCGCCCGCCAGCAUUCUGGCGGGCAUGCCUGUUCGAGCGUCAUUUCAACCCUCAAGCUCUGCUUGGUUUUGGGGCCCUACGGUUGACGUAGGCCCUUAAAGGUAGUGGCGGACCCUCUCGGAGCCUCCUUUGCGUAGUAACGUUUCGUCUCGCUUUGGGAUUCGGAGGGCCUCUCGCCGUAAAACCCCCAAUUUUUCUAAGGCUGACCGCGAAUCAGGGGGGAAUCCCCGCUGAACCUCGCCAUAAGAUAAAGCGGAGGAGAUCAUUACUGAGUUACCGCUCAUAACCCUUUGUGAACAUACCUUAACUGUUGCUUCGGCGGGUAGGAGUCCCUAAAAAGGACGCCUCCCGGCCCUCCGUCGCGGGUGGGGGCGCCCGCCGGAGGAUAACAAACUCUGAUUUUAACGACGUUUUCUUCUGAGUGACACAAGUAAUAAUCAAAACUUUUUAACAACGGAUCUCUUGGUUCUGGCAUCGAUGAAAAACGCACGAAAUGCGAUAAGUAAUGUGAAUUUGCAG